rnacentral:rRNA from 1 species
GAUGAACGCUGGCGGCGUGCUUAACACAUGCAAGUCGAACGGAAAGGCCCAAGCUUGCUUGGGUACUCGAGUGGCGAACGGGUGAGUAACACGUGGGUGAUCUGCCCUGCACUUCGGGAUAAGCCUGGGAAACUGGGUCUAAUACCGGAUAGGACCACUUCUUGGAUGUUGUGGUGGAAAGUUUUCUCGGUGUGGGAUGAGCUCGCGGCCUAUCAGCUUGUUGGUGGGGUAAUGGCCUACCAAGGCGUCGACGGGUAGCCGGCCUGAGAGGGUGUACGGCCACAUUGGGACUGAGAUACGGACCAGACUCCUACGGGAGGCAGCAGUGGGGAAUAUUGCACAAUGGGCGCAAGCCUGAUGCAGCGACGCCGCGUGGGGGAUGACGGCCUUCGGGUUGUAAACUCCUUUCGCUAGGGACGAAGCGUUUUUGUGACGGUACCUGGAGAAGAAGCACCGGCUAACUACGUG